AAACCAAUGGUUUGAUUGCAGCAGCUUUUUAUGGUAUUAUGCUGCUACUGGCUGUCGUGUCACUGAUGGCUGGGUGGACCAUGGGUGUGCCGAUGGAUUCGUCUUCUUCCGAGUACGGUAGUUAUUCAUACCAGACGACUACUGCUGCGCCGUACUACACCACUGCUGCGCCGUACUACACCACGACGUAUGCUGCCCCCAGUUAUUACACUACAAAGGCGUCCGAGUACUACCCCACAACAUAUGCGUUUGCCAGUCUUUUCCCAUUUCACACGGUGUGGGUGAGGCCCAAGUCAACCUAAAAGAACAAGCGAACAGACGUGUGACCAGUUGACCAACACCAGUUGCUGUUUCAGACGAUGGGGUGUGUGAUGCAGGUUCAAGUGUAGGGAAC